GAACGACCUGUGUCCCCCUAGCA
rnacentral:siRNA from 1 species